rnacentral:sRNA from 1 species
AGACGUUGGCUUCCAAGUAAUGACGCAGUACAAUGCCACCAAAGGAUAAUCUGUUGGGAAAUUGACAAAAGCUGGGAUAAUAACUGAUGUUACAAAACGUAUUAGCGAGAAAAAAAAAGGAAAGUUUUUUAAUGACAAUAUCAAACACUUAAGAGGUUUUUUUUGUGACAGAACACGUAAUUUCACAAAUUGACAAAGAAUAACAUUACGUCAAAAUGUCUUUUUAACAAUUUUAAUAACAGAAUGUUAGAUCCUGACUGUUUUUUCAUAAAAACUGACAUUGCUGAUUUUUAAUUAACAAAAAAGAAUACAAAAUUUAUCAUUAUCAUCACAUCCUUUUCAGAGAAAAUCUUAAUGACAGAUGAAACACAUUUCUAGAAAGAACGACCUAAAUCUUGUUGUUUCAUUACAAAAACAUCUUUUUUUUCAUCUUUGAUUAGUCAUUUGUAAAGCCCUUAAUGACAGAUUUCUGCAGAAACUAUGUCAACAUCAGAUUUUUGGGUCAUAGUAACAAUGCUGAAAUUGUGACUGCGGAAAAGAAUAUUCAGUGAGACGCAGAUUGUUUUCUUUAAUACGUACGCCAGUAUACUGGACAAGUGACACAUUUCAGCAGUGAGGUACAUUAGGUAACCGAUGACAAACACAAAGAGAGGUUCGAUGACUUUAACAUGCUCCGUAUACUUGGUGAUGAAUCCUCCGAAGAAACCAAAGAGAAUGCCGAUGAGUGUUCCUCCUAUCGCGAUGAUGAAGAAGGAACCCAGUCCCGUUACUAUAUCGAUGGACUGGAUGUUGGACUCUCCGAUUUCAAUGAAUCCCUCAAACAUGUGGUACAGCACCUGUAGAAGCAUUUGUUGUAGUGUUUGAAAUCCGAAACUAUCAAAACAGCAUGAAUUAUGUAAUAUAUGACAUCAAGUCUUGAUGUAAACAAAAUGUCUCUUCAUUCUACACACCUGCAAGAAUUAUGUCAUAUAUUGAUAUCAUUUUUUGGGGUAAAUACCUCCGUUAACAUUAAUUUAUAAUUCAUCAAAAUUU